rnacentral:rRNA from 1 species
AUUGAACGCUGGCGGCAUGCUUUACACAUGCAAGUCGGACGGCAGCGGGGGUGCUUGCACCUGCCGGCGAGUGGCGAACGGGUGAGUAACAUAUUGGAAUGUACCGAGUAGUGGGGGAUAACCAAUCGAAAGAUUGGCUAAUACCGCAUACGUCCUGAGGGAGAAAGCAGGGGAUCUUCGGACCUUGCGCUAUUUGAGCAGCCAAUAUCUGAUUAGCUAGUUGGUGGGGUAAAGGCCCACCAAGGCGACGAUCAGUAGCGGGUUGAGAGGAUGAUCCGCCACACUGGGACUGAGACACGGCCCAGACUCCUACGGGAGGCAGCAGUGGGGAAUUUUGGACAAUGGGGGCAACCCUGAUCCAGCCAUGCCGCGUGUCUGAAGAAGGCCUUCGGGUUGUAAAGGACUUUUGUUAGGGAAGAAAAGGGAAAGUGCU